AAUUAAGCCAUGCAUGUCUAAGUAUAAGCAAUUAUACAGCGAAACUGCGAAUGGCUCAUUAUAUAAGUUAUCGUUUAUUUGAUAGUACCUUACUACUUGGAUAACCGUGGUAAUUCUAGAGCUAAUACAUGCUAAAAAUCCCGACUUCGGAAGGGAUGUAUUUAUUAGAUUAAAAACCAAUGCCCUCUGGGCUCCUUGGUGAUUCAUGAUAACUCUUCGAAUCGCACGGCCUUGCGCCGGCGAUGGGUGUUCAUUCAAAUUUCUUCCCUAUCAACUUUUCGAUGUUUGGGUAUUGGCCAACAUGGGUUGCAACGGGUAACGGAGGGUUAAGGCUCGACCCCGAGAAAGGAGCCUGAGAAACGGCUUCUCAUUCCAAGGAAGGCAGCAGGCGCGCAAAUUACCCAAUCCCGAUUCGGGGAGGUAGUGACAAUAAAUACUGAUACAGGGCUCUUUGGGUCUUGUAAUGGGAAUGAGUACAAUUUAAAUCCUUAACGAGGAACAAUUGGAGGGCAAGUCUGGUGCCAGCAGCCGCGGUAAUUCCAGCUCCAAUAGCGUAUAUUAAAGUUGUUGUGGUUAAAAAGCUCGUAGUUGAACCUUGGGCCUGGCUGGCCGGUCCGCCUCACCGCGUGCACUGGUCCGGCCGGGCCUUUCCCUCUGUGGAACCCCAUGCCCUUCACUGGGCGUGGCGGGGAAACAGGACGUUUACUUUGAAAAAAUUAGAGUGCUCCAGGCAGGCCUAUGCUCGAAUACAUUAGCAUGGAAUAAUGAAAUAGGACGCGUGGUUCUAUUUUGUUGGUUUCUAGGACCGCCGUAAUGAUUAAUAGGGACAGUCGGGGGCAUCAGUAUUCAAUUGUCAGAGGUGAAAUUCUUGGAUUUAUUGAAGACUAACUACUGCGAAAGCAUUUGCCAAGGAUGUUUUCAUUAAUCAGGAACGAAAGUUAGGGGAUCGAAGACGAUCAGAUACCGUCGUAGUCUUAACCAUAAACUAUGCCGACUAGGGAUCGGACGAUGUUAUUUUUUGACGCGUUCGGCACCUUACGAGAAAUCAAAGUGCUUGGGCUCCAGGGGGAG
rnacentral:rRNA from 1 species